rnacentral:rRNA from 1 species
AAUCAACGCUGGCGGCGUGCCUAACACAUGCAAGUCGAGCGAGAGGGAGUAGCAAUACUCUAGUAAAGCGGCGCACGGGUGAGUAACACGUGGGUAAUCUGCCUCGAAGUGGGGAAUAACACCGGGAAACCGGUGCUAAUACCGCAUAAUCUGACGGGAUCUGCGGAUUUGGUCAGCAAAGGAGCAAUUCGCUUUGAGAGGAGCCCGAGGCUGAUUAGCUAGUUGGUGAGGUAAUGGCUCACCAAGGCCACGAUCAGUAGCCGGUCUGAGAGGACGGUCGGCCACACUGGAACUGAGACACGGUCCAGACUCCUACGGGAGGCAGCAGUGGGGAAUUUUUCGCAAUGGGGGCAACCCUGACGAAGCAACGCCGCGUGGAUGAUGAAGUCUCUUGGGACGUAAAAUCCUUUCGACGGGGACGAAACCGCAAGGUUGACGGUACCCGUAGAAGAAGCCCCGGCUAACUCCGUGCCAGCAGCCGCCGCAGUAA